rnacentral:rRNA from 1 species
UACGAAGGGGGCUAGCGUUGCUCGGAAUCACUGGGCGUAAAGCGCACGUAGGCGGAUUGUUAAGUCAGGGGUGAAAUCCUGGAGCUCAACUCCAGAACUGCCUUUGAUACUGGCGAUCUUGAGUCCGGGAGAGGUGAGUGGAACUGCGAGUGUAGAGGUGAAAUUCGUAGAUAUUGGGAAGAACACCGGUGGCGAAGGCGGCGCUCUGGACCGAGACUGACGCUGAGGCGCGAAAGCGUGGGGAGCAAACAGG